GUACUCGCCUCGGCGGUACAUUUACUAAAAUUGGAACGCUGCAGAGAAUAUUAUCAUCUACGCAAGGAUGAAACGCAAAAUCGUGAAGCGAAAAAAAAGUAG